rnacentral:rRNA from 1 species
AUUGCACGCUGGCGGCAGGCUUAACACAUGCAAGUCGAGCGAGCGGCGGACGGGUGAGUAAUGUCUGGGAAACUGCCUGAUGGAGGGGGAUAACUACUGGAAACGGUAGCUAAUACCGCAUACAAUAAGAUGUGCCCAGAUGGGAUUAGAGAGUAGGUUGGGUAAUGGCUGACCUAGGCGACGAUCCCUAGCUGGUCUGAGGGGAUGACCAGCCACACUGGAACUGAGAAACGGUCCAGACGCCUACGUGAGGCAGCAGUGGGGAAUAUUGCACUAUGGGCGCAAGCCUGAUGCAGCCAUGCCGCGUGUGUGAAGAAGGCAUUCGGGUUGUAAAGCACUUGCAGCGAGGAGGCGUUACUCGCAGAAGAAGCACCGGCUAACACCGUGCCAGCAGCCGCGGUAAUAC